GAAAUGCGAUAAGUAGUGUGAAUUGCAGAAUUCAGUGAAUCAUCGAAUCUUUGAACGCACAUUGCGCCCCUUGGUAUUCCAUGGGGCAUGCCUGUUCGAGCGUCAUUUGUACCCUCAAGCUCUGCUUGGUGUUGGGUGUUUGUCCCGUCUCCGCGCGUGGACUCGCCCCAAAGUGAUUGGCAGCCGGCGUACUGGUCCCGGAGCGCAGCACAUGUCGCGCAAACGAGUGCCUUGGUACGGCGGCGUCCAUAAGCCCCUCUCUCACGCUCUUGACCUCGGAUCAGGUAGAGAUACGCGCUGAACUUAAGC
rnacentral:misc_RNA from 1 species